AACGAACGCUGGCGGCAGGCCUAACACAUGCAAGUCGAACGCCCCGCAAGGGGAGUGGCAGACGGGUGAGUAACACGUGGGAACGUACCCUUCGGUUCGGGAUAACUCAGGGAAACUUGAGCUAAUACCGGAUACGUCCGAGAGGAGAAAGAUUUAUCGCCGAGGGAUCGGCCCGCGUCUGAUUAGCUUGUUGGUGAGGUAACGGCUCACCAAGGCGACGAUCAGUAGCUGGUCUGAGAGGAUGAUCAGCCACAUUGGGACUGAGACACGGCCCAAACUCCUACGGGAGGCAGCAGUGGGGAAUAUUGGACAAUGGGCGCAAGCCUGAUCCAGCCAUGCCGCGUGAGUGAUGAAGGCCCUAGGGUUGUAAAGCUCUUUUACCCGGGAAGAUAAUGACUGUACCGGGAGAAUAA
rnacentral:rRNA from 1 species